UACGAAGGGGGCUAGCGUUGUUCGGAAUUACUGGGCGUAAAGCGCACGUAGGCGGAUUGGAAAGUUGGAGGUGAAAUCCCAGGGCUCAACCUUGGAACUGCCUUCAAAACUCCCAGUCUUGAGGUCGAGAGAGGUGAGUGGAAUUCCGAGUGUAGAGGUGAAAUUCGUAGAUAUUCGGAGGAACACCAGUGGCGAAGGCGGCUCACUGGCUCGAUACUGACGCUGAUGGACGAAAGCGUGGGUAGCGAACAGG
rnacentral:rRNA from 1 species